AAUCUUCCGCAAUGGACGUAAGUCUGACGGAGCAACGCCGCGUGAGUGAUGAAUGUCUUCGGAUCGUAAAACUCUGUUGUUAGUGAAGAACAAGUAUCGUUCGAAUAGGGCGGUAUCUUGACGGUACCUAUCCAGAACGCUACGGCUAACUACGUUCCAGCAGCCGCGGUAAUACGUAGGUGGCAAGCGUUGUCCGGAUUUAUUGGGCGUAAAGCGCGCGCAGGCGGUCUUUUAAGUCUGAUGUGAAAUCUUACAGCUUAACUGUAAGCGGUCAUUGGAAAAUGGGAGACUUGAGUGCAGAAGAGGAGAGUGGAAUUCCAUGUGUAGCGGUGAAAUGCGUAGAGAUAUGGAGGAACACCAGUGGCGAAGGCGACUCUCUGGUCUGUAACUGACGCUGAGGCGCGAAAGCGUGGGGAUCAAACA
rnacentral:rRNA from 1 species